rnacentral:rRNA from 1 species
CCUACGGGUGGCAGCAGUGGGGAAUAUUGGACAAUGGGGGGAACCCUGAUCCAGCCAUGCCGCGUGUGUGAAGAAGGCCCUCGGGUUGUAAAGCACUUUCAGUGAGGAAGAACGCCUGGUGGUUAAUACCCAUCAGGAAAGACAUCACUCACAGAAGAAGCACCGGCUAACUCCGUGCCAGCAGCCGCGGUAAUACGGAGGGUGCGAGCGUUAAUCGGAAUUACUGGGCGUAAAGCGCGCGUAGGUGGCUUGAUAAGCCGGUUGUGAAAGCCCCGGGCUCAACCUGGGAACGGCAUCCGGAACUGUCAAGCUCGAGUGCAGGAGAGGAAGGUAGAAUUCCCGGUGUAGCGGUGAAAUGCGUAGAGAUCGGGAGGAAUACCAGUGGCGAAGGCGGCCUUCUGGACUGACACUGACACUGAGGUGCGAAAGCGUGGGUAGCAAACAGGAUUAGAUACCCCAGUAGUC